rnacentral:rRNA from 1 species
GAUAAACGCUAGCGGCAGGCUUAACACAUGCAAGUCGAGGGGCAGCAUAGAUUGUAGCAAUACAAUUGGUGGCGACCGGCGCACGGGUGCGUAACGCGUAUGCAACCUACCCGUCACAGGGGGAUAAUCCGGAGAAAUCUGGUCUAAUACCCCAUAACAUAUGGAUCGGCAUCGGUUCAUGUUGAAAUUUUCGGAGGUGACGGAUGGGCAUGCGUAGCAUUAGCUUGUUGGUGAGGUAACGGCUCACCAAGGGGACGAUGCUUAUGGGGACUGAGAGGUUUUCCCCCCACACUGGUACUGAGACACGGACCAGACUCCUACGGGAGGCAGCAGUGAGGAAUAUUGGUCAAUGGGCGCAAGCCUGAACCAGCCAUGCCGCGUGCAGGAUGACGGCUCUAUGAGUUGUAAACUGCUUUUGUACGAGGGUAAAGUGGGUUACGUGUAACCUUUUGAAAGUAUCGUACGAAUAAGGAUCGGCUAACUCCGUGCCAGCAGCCGCGGUAA